AAAAGUCGUCAAAUGACAAAUUGGCAAGGAGAUAUGUGACGAAGGAAUGGUAUGUGCUUUUACUUCUCAAGAUAUAAGGGUAUCGGAAAAAGAAGAGGAGCAUUGCCCACCCACUGCAGCUUUGGCUGGCGAG
rnacentral:misc_RNA from 1 species